rnacentral:rRNA from 1 species
GACGAACGCUGGCGGCGUGCUUAACACAUGCAAGUCGAACGGUGAAGCGCCUUCCUUUUUGGUGGGUGUGGAUGAGUGGCGAACGGGUGAGUAACACGGGAGUAACCUGCUCCCUUCUUCUGGAUAACCGCAUGAAAGUGCGGCUAAUACGGGAUAUCCUGGGUCUGUCGCAUGAUGGGUCUGGGAAAGAUAUUGAUUCGGUGGGGGAUGUGCGGGGGGCCUAUCAGCUUGUUGGUGGGGUGAUGGCCUACGAAGGCGGUGACGGGUGGCCGGCCUGGGAGGGUGGACGGUCUGAGAGUGACAGAGGCACGACACAGACUCGUACGGGAGGCAGCAGUGGGGAUUAUUGAACGAUGGGCGCAAGCCUGAUGCAGCGACGCCGCGUGAGGGAUGGAGUCCGUCGGGUAGUGAACCUCUUUCGCGAGGGAAGCAGGCCUGCCUGGUAUGUGGAUGGAUUGACGGUAGCUAGAUAAGAAGCGCCGGCUAACUACGUG